rnacentral:rRNA from 1 species
AGCGAACGCUGGCGGCAGGCCUAACACAUGCAAGUCGAACGAACUCUUCGGAGUUAGUGGCGGACGGGUGAGUAACACGUGGGAACGUGCCUUUUGGUUCGGAAUAACUCAGGGAAACUUGUGCUAAUACCUAAUGUGCCCUUCGGGGGAAAGAUUUAUCGCCAUUAGAGCGGCCCGCGUCUGAUUAGCUAGUUGGUGAGGUAACGGCUCACCAAGGCGACGAUCAGUAGCUGGUCUGAGAGGAUGACCAGCCACACUGGGACUGAGACACGGCCCAGACUCCUACGGGAGGCAGCAGUGGGGAAUCUUGCGCAAUGGGCGAAAGCAUGACGCAGCCAUGCCGCGUGAAUGAUGAAGGUCUUAGGAUUGUAAAAUUCUUUAACAGGGGACGAUAAUGACGGUACCCGGAGAAGAAGCCACGGCUAACUUCGUG